rnacentral:lncRNA from 1 species
GUUCUAAUAUAUUCGUAUGUUUUCCUCUUUUUGUUGCUUUGGCUUCAUUCAAGAAAUAUCUGGUCGGGUGCGAUGGCUCAAGCCUGUAAUCCCAGCACUUUGGGAGGCCGAGGUGGGUGGAUCAUGAGGUCAAGAGCUCGAGACCAUCUUGGUCAACAAGUUCUGAAGAAGCUUCCAUGUGGUGAGAGAGUACAUGGAGGGGGCCAUACGAAGGGGGCCAUGUGGCAAGGAACUGUAGCUGCCACUGAGUGCUUCGAGCAAUCCCUGACCAACAGUAAGAACAUAGAACCACAGUGCAACAGUUGCAAAGAGAUGAAUUUUGUUAACAACAUGAAGAUGUUGGAAAUGGAUUAUUCUCUAGUCCAGGCUAUGAUCACCACAGCCCUGGUCAACACCUGAAUUUCAGCCUGGUGAGACCCUGGAGCAGAGAACUCACCUAGGAUAUGCCUGACUUCUGUCUUACAGAAACACAAAAAUAAUAAAUGUGUGCUAUUUUAAGCUGCAAAUUUGUGAUAAUUUACUACAAAGUAUAGAAAACUAAUGCAAUAUCUCUUUUCUUUCUGCAACAUA